rnacentral:rRNA from 1 species
UACGUAGGUGGCAAGCGUUGUCCGGAAUUAUUGGGCGUAAAGCGCACGUAGGCGGAUAUUUAAGUCAGGGGUGAAAUCCUGGAGCUCAACUCCAGAACUGCCUUUGAUACUGAGAAGCUUGAGUCCGGGAGAGGUGAGUGGAACUGCGAGUGUAGAGGUGAAAUUCGUAGAUAUUCGCAAGAACACCAGUGGCGAAGGCGGCUCACUGGCCCGGUACUGACGCUGAGGUGCGAAAGCGUGGGGAGCGAACAGG